rnacentral:rRNA from 1 species
CUACGGGUUGCUGCAGUGGGGAAUAUUGCACAAUGGGCGAAAGCCUGGUGCAGCAACGCCGCGUGAGGGACGACGGCCUUCGGGUUGUAAACCUCUUUUAGCAGGGAAGAAGCGAAAGUGACGGUACCUGCAGAAAAAGCACCGGCUAACUACGUGCCAGCAGCCGCGGUAAUACGUAGGGUGCAAGCGUUGUCCGGAAUUAUUGGGCGUAAAGAGCUCGUAGGCGGUUUGUCGCGUCUGCUGUGAAAAUCCGAGGCUCAACCUCGGACCUGCAGUGGGUACGGGCAAACUAGAGUGCGGUAGGGGAGAUUGGAAUUCCUGGUGUAGCGGUGGAAUGCGCAGAUAUCAGGAGGAACACCAAUGGCGAAGGCAGAUCUCUGGGCCGUAACUGACGCUGAGGAGCGAAAGCGUGGGGAGCGAACAGGAUUAGAUACCCUAGUAGUC